GUUCACAACAGUAACAGUAAGCCUCUAAUCUCUGGUAUGUGACUCCCAGUUUACUGGGAGACAGCAGAAGCAUAUCCAGAGUGCAGGUAUUGGACUGCAUCAGGGGACACACGCUCAGACGGCCACAGAGGCCGGGAAGUCAGCAAUGUGAGUGAAGAGGGCCAGGCACAAGCAAGAGAAGGAAGUGGAGGCUGGAAACCAGAGCUCCCACAUUCCGUCCAAAGGGGGUAGCGCCUCCCUCGUUCUUGCCAGUCACCGCCACAUGCAGUCCCCAUGGGUGUUGCUGCCAGCAGCUCACAAUUGAACGCCUCUUCAGAGAAUUGUCCUUGGGCCGUUGGAGCUGCCUAGCCCGGCAGGGUCUGGGACUUAUGCCCUGACUCCCUCUGUCAUCACUCGGGGCACACCAGAGCCAAUGACUGGCCAGUGCAGGACUCACAAGACUCACUCUCUCAUCUCAAGUUUCUCACAGCAGAAAAGUAUGCCCCCCGUGCCCUGUUCUGGCACCCUGGAGAAAUGAGAAGCCUCAGGUCAAGCCAGAAGAGUCACCGUGUGAGAUAGACACCUUCAGUGUCCCCAUUUGACAGAUGAGGAAGUUGAGCCUGGAGAGAUUCAGAACUUACUGAGGUCACACAGCCGAUCAGGGGCCGAGCUGGGCUUUAAACCCAGGCAGAACUACUCAAUAUACUGGACUCUUUAUUCUACACGUGCAGCCUCUCAGAUGGUGUCCUUAUUGUUUGGGAUGUCUGUCCUCAUUCCCCACUCCUGUUCUGCUUCCUUUGCCCUUCUUAAAUAAACUCAUUGUUG